UUCAAGAUACCCCCAACACGCCCCAAGAACAGGAGGGGUACCCGGCUCCCCAUCGACAGCAGCAAAGAGGCUUAGAGGGGCCGGGGCGGGGCCAAGGGUGGGGCCAAGGUUCCCUCCAGUGGCACACCGCCCAAGGCCACCUUAGCCUCUCCUCCAAGAACUUCACAGUUCGGCGAGUGACGGCCCUACAGCUCUCCUCGGAGCGGACAGCUAGGCACGCAGCCUGGCACCGGUGUGCCUGCUCCGCAGUUGCUCUUGCCUCGGCCUCCCUGCCUGCGCCGGACCCUUCUCCCCAAGCCAACCAUCUUUCCAGUGACCUUCCCUACAGGAUCAAUGAGGUGUGGAGGCUCCGGUGGGGGAAUAUAUGGAAGGAGAUUUGGUGGCGCCUACUCCUGCAUGGCGUCUCAGGGGCAGGGGGCCAUGGGGUCCCCUGGGCCAGAGGCUCGGCGUGUGUUUGUGGGUGGCAGGCUGCGGAUUCAGCCGCUUGUGAUGUGCGAGCGCUUCAACAAAGGGAGCAUGUCUUUUGGACCUGCCCUCGGGCCCAAGCAGCAGUGUAUGUCCUAGCUAAGAACUUGCCUCCUGAAAC
rnacentral:lncRNA from 1 species